rnacentral:rRNA from 1 species
ACAGCUCAAAUUUGAAAUCUGGCCCCAGGCCCGAGUUGUAAUUUGCAGAGGAUGCUUUUGGCGAGGCGCCUUCCGAGUUCCCUGGAACGGGACGCCGUAGAGGGUGAGAGCCCCGUACGGUUGGACGCCGAGCCUCUGUAAAGCUCCUUCGACGAGUCGAGUAGUUUGGGAAUGCUGCUCUAAAUGGGAGGUAUAUCCCUUCUAAAGCUAAAUACUGGCCAGAGACCGAUA